rnacentral:rRNA from 1 species
UACGUAGGGAGCAAGCGUUGUCCGGAAUCAUUGGGCGUAAAGCGCGCGUAGGUGGCUUCGUAAGUCCGUUGUGAAAGUCAAAGGCUCAACCUUUGAAAGCCGAUGGAUACUGCGGAGCUAGAGUACGGAAGAGGCGAGUGGAAUUCCUGGUGUAGCGGUGGAAUGCGCAGAUAUCAGGAGGAACACCGAUGGCGAAGGCAGGUCACUGGGCCGCAACUGACGCUGAGGAGCGAAAGCAUGGGGAGCGAACAGG